GGACAGCUUUGGAGCCUCUAGAGUUUGAUCCUGGCUCAGUAGGUCGUAACAAGGUAACCAGUAUUGGAUCCCCUUAAGUUUGAUCCCGGGUCAAGAAGACUGAACAAGGUAAACGGAAUUUUAUCCCCUUCAGUUUUAUCUUUGGUACCGAAGGGUUAGAAAUUGAAAGGCGGCUGGUUCCCCUACUAAUGGAUGGACCCGCCUCGCAUUAGCUAGUUGGUGAGGUAACGGCUCACCAAGGCAACGAUGCGUAGCCCACCUGAGAGGGUGAUCGGCCACACUGGGACUGAGACACGGCCCAGACUCCUACGGGAGGCAGCAGUAGGGAAUCUUCCGCAAUGGACGAAAGUCUGACGGAGCAACGCCGCGUGAGUGAUGAAGGCUUUCGGGUCGUAAAACUCUGUUGUUAGGGAAGAACAAGUGCUAGUUGAAUAAGCUGGCACCUUGACGGUACCUAACCAGAAAGCCACGGCUAACUACGUGCCAGCAGCCGCGGUAAUACGUAGGUGGCAAGCGUUAUCCGGAAUUAUUGGGCGUAAAGCGCGCGCAGGUGGUUUCUUAAGUCUGAUGUGAAAGCCCACGGCUCAACCGUGGAGGGUCAUUGGAAACUGGGAGACUUGAGUGCAGAAGAGGAAAGUGGAAUUCCAUGUGUAGCGGUGAAAUGCGUAGAGAUAUGGAGGAACACCAGUGGCGAAGGCGACUUUCUGGUCUGUAACUGACACUGAGGCGCGAAAGCGUGGGGAGCAAACAGGAUUAGAUACCCUGGUAGUCCACGCCGUAAACGAUGAGUGCUAAGUGUUAGAGGGUUUCCGCCCUUUAGUGCUGAAGUUAACGCAUUAAGCACUCCGCCUGGGGAGUACGGCCGCAAGGCUGAAACUCAAAGGAAUUGACGGGGGCUUUUUAAGUUGAUGGAAAGCCCACGCUCAACCGGGGAGGGUCAUUGGAACUGGGAGGACUGAGUGCAGAAGGGAAAGUGGAUUCCCUGUGUAGCGGUGAAAUGCGUAGAGAUAUGGAGGAACCACAGUGGCGAAGGUGACUUUUUGGUCUGGUAAUGACCAUGAGGCGGGAAAGCGUGGGGAGCAAACCGGGUUAGAUACCCUGGUUGUUCCAGCCGUUAACGAUGAGUGGUUAGUGGUAGAGGGUUUCCGGCCUUUUAUGGUGAAGUUAAAGCAUUUAACAAUUCGCCUGGGGGGUUCGGGCGCCAGGGUGAAAAUCAAAGGAAUUGACGGGGGCCCGCCCCAGCGGUGGAGCCUGUGGUUUAAUUUGGAGCAACGGGAAGGACCUUUCCCGGUUUUGGCCUUCUUUGACAACCCUAGAGAUAGGGGUUUUCCUUUGGGAGCAGAAUGGCCGGUGGGGCCAGGUUGUUGUCAAGUUGGGUUGUGAGAUGUUGGGUUUAGUUCCGCAACGAGGGCCACCCCUGAUUUUAGUUGCCCUCCUUUAGUUGGGCCCUUUAAGGUGACUGCCGGUGGCAAACCGGAGGAAGGGGGGGGAGGCGUCAAAUCAUCCUUCCCCUUUAGACCUGGGGUACACAAAAACUUCCAUGGGCGGUUCAAAAAGGUGCAAGGCCGCGAGGAGGAGGUAAAAAGAAAAAAACGUUUUCUUUUCGGAGGGUUUUUCCCGGGCCCAGAAAGUGGAAAAAAAGUAACCAGUAUUGGAUCCUCAAGAGUUUGAUCCGGGCUCGUUAAGUGGUAACAAGGUAACCAGUAUUGGAUCCUCUAGAGUUUGAUCCUGGCUCAGUAAGUCGUAACAAGGUAACCAGUAUUGGUCCUCUGAGU
rnacentral:rRNA from 1 species